AUGGUGGACAGGGUGACGAAGCUGGCAUCGCAGCGCGUGGUGGUGAUCUUCGGUGUGAGCAACCGCUUCAUGUGCCAUGUGGUGAAGACGCUCUUCACGGAGCUGGGCGUGAGCUGGACGGUGCACAAACUGGCAAAGGACCCCUGGGGGAAGGACGUCGAGAGGGCGCUUGCUGGCAUGGUCAUGACACUGCACCUUGGCGGCCAGCUUGUGCCGCUCCUCAGCCAGGCUGGUGCCCUCUGGCUCUGA
rnacentral:rRNA from 1 species